rnacentral:rRNA from 1 species
GUGAGGAAUAUUGGACAAUGGGCGCAAGCCUGAUCCAGCCAUGCCGCGUGCAGGAAGACGCAUCUAUGGUGUGUAAACUGCUUUUGUACGGGAAGAAACACUCCCUCGUGAGGGAGCUUGACGGUACCGUAAGAAUAAGGAUCGGCUAACUCCGUGCCAGCAGCCGCGGUAAUACGGAGGAUCCAAUCGUUAUCCGGAAUCAUUGGGUUUAAAGGGUCCGUAGGCGGUUUAAUAAGUCAGUGGUGAAAGCCCAUCGCUCAACGAUGGAACGGCCAUUGAUACUGUUAGACUUGAAUUACAAGGAAGUAACUAGAAUAUGUAGUGUAGCGGUGAAAUGCUUAGAUAUUACAUGGAAUACCAAUUGCGAAGGCAGGUUACUACUUGUGGAUUGACGCUGAUGGACGAAAGCGUGGGGAGCGAACAGGAUUAGAUACCCGUGUAGUCC